rnacentral:rRNA from 2 species
UUUGGACUUAAUUGGCUGUGAAGCACAUGAAAACUUUGUAGUUAAGCAUGCUGAUAUGGGAGUAGUACUAGGAUGGGUGACCUCCUGGGAAGUCUCCACCGGGUGACCAAAA